GUGGAGCAAUCCAUGAGUAAAGUGGCGCACGGGUGAGUAACACGUGACUAACCUACCCUUGAGUGGGGAAUAACCUAGGGAAACCUGGGCUAAUACCGCAUAACACCUACGGGUCAAAGGAGCAAUUCGCUUAAGGAGGGGGUCGCGGCAGAUUAGCUAGUUGGCGGGGUAAUGGCCCACCAAGGCAGUGAUCUGUAUCCGGCCUGAGAGGGCGCACGGACACACUGGAACUGAAACACGGUCCAGACUCCUACGGGAGGCAGCAGUGGGGAAUUUUGCGCAAUGGGGGAAACCCUGACGCAGCAACGCCGCGUGGAGGAUGAAGUCCCUUGGGACGUAAACUCCUUUCGACCGGGAAGAUUAUGACGGUACCUAUAGAAGAAGCCCCGGCUAACUUCGUGCCAGCAGCCGCGGUAAUACGAGGGGGGCAAGCGUUGUUCGGAAUUAUUGGGCGUAAAGGGCGCGUAGGCGGUUUGACAAGUCUGAUGUGAAAUCUCUGGGCUCAACCCAGAGUCUGCAUUAGAAACUGUCGGGCUUGAGUAUGGGAGAGGUGAGUGGAAUUUCCGGUGUAGCGGUGAAAUGCGUAGAUAUCGGAAGGAACACCUGUGGCGAAAGCGGCUCACUGGACCAUAACUGACGCUGAGGCGCGAAAGCUAGGGGAGCAAACA
rnacentral:rRNA from 1 species